AGUGCGAAAGCUAACUUUGCUUCAAAAAUGUAUUCUUUUGCAAAUUAGUUUUUAACUGCAAAUAAAUACUGGUUCAGAAUAAGAAGUUUGAAAGAAUAAAUAAACUUCUAGACAAUAAAUUCCGUGAGGAUAGGGCCUGCACCACAUUCAUCUUUGAGCCCUCACUACUGCGCACCAAUCUUGACAAUAAUAAAUUACCUAGAAGUAUUGCUUUUCCUUUCAUGAAUGAAGAAACAUGAUCCUUUGAGUGGGAGAGAAAAAUCAUAUUGCUUAUUUUCAUUAGUAUAGAGACCAGAAAUUUUAAUUGGCUAACGUUUUCAUAUUCAUAGUUCAUGGAUUAUUUUGAUGUAGAUACAGUCAGGAAAAACAGUCAACCAAAUUAAAAUAAAAUGUUUUAACUGGAUUGCAUUAUAAUAUUUAUUUAUAGCCUAUCUAGUCCUAUAAGGAAAUCACAAAUAUGACAAAAUAAGACAUAUAAAACAAAAACCAGAAAAGAAAAUUACAUUAAGAAAACUUCUUGGAGAGAAGUCAUAGCAAUUCAGCAUGACACUUAGCUCUAAGUCUCCUGUUACCCAAUGCUGGGAGGAAAACACGAGAGGGUACCUCCCUCCUCGUUGCCUGGUAGAAGGAAGCAUCUAAGUUCAUCCAGAGAGAGAACACUUGUCCCAUCCCGAGGUUCGAGGUAAUUUAUCCUAUGCCUUUGUGAAGAAGACACUAAGAAAAAUAGGGACAAGAAACUUCAUGUCAAUUUUAUAAAUAGAGAUGAAAAGACAAAUACACAUGAAGCCUUUUUUUUUUUUUUUCCAGUCGUGGGUGAGAGAUGAGGACAGAAUGUUGUGUUUCCAUGAGAGCUAUCCCUGAGGGUUCUGACAUAAUCGAGUCCAAAAACUACCUUAGAAGAUGGGUAGAAGCGGUAACAGUGCCAGGAAACAGAGAAGCCAACAAAUAAUACUUUUCUCACAGAGAGUUCAUUUGUAAAAAGCCUGAUUGGGGAAAGGGGAUAAUCUUUGAAUAGAGUUUAAAUUUUGAUUGUUAUUUGACAUG
rnacentral:lncRNA from 1 species